rnacentral:tRNA from 1 species
CGGGACAUAGCGCAAUUGGUUAGCGCACUAGCUUUGGGAGCUAGAGGUUGUGGGUUCGAGUCCCACUGUCCCGA